rnacentral:rRNA from 1 species
UACGGGGGAGCAAGCGUUGUUCGGAUUUACUGGGCGUAAAGGGCGCGUAGGCGGUCAGCACAAGUCAGUUGUGAAAUCUCCGGGCUUAACUCGGAAAGGUCAACUGAUACUGUGCGACUAGAGUGCAGAAGGGGCAACUGGAAUUCGUCGGUGUAGCGGUGGAAAAUGCGUAGAUAUCGAGAGGAACACCUGCGGCGAAGGCGGGUUGCUGGGCUGAUACUGCGUGAGGCGCGAAAGCCGGGAGCGAACGGG